rnacentral:rRNA from 1 species
UACCAGACUCCUACGGGAGGCAGCAGUGGGGAAUAUUGCACAAUGGGGGAAACCCUGAUGCAGCGACGCCGCGUGAGCGAUGAAGUAUUUCGGUAUGUAAAGCUCUAUCAGCAGGGAAGAAGAUGACGGUACCUGACUAAGAAGCCCCGGCUAACUACGUGCCAGCAGCCGCGGUAAUACGUAGGGGGCAAGCGUUAUCCGGAUUUACUGGGUGUAAAGGGAGCGUAGACGGCGAUGCAAGCCAGAUGUGAAAGCCCGGGGCUCAACCCCGGGACUGCAUUUGGAACUGUGUGGCUGGAGUGUCAGAGAGGCAGGCGGAAUUCCUAGUGUAGCGGUGAAAUGCGUAGAUAUUAGGAGGAACACCAGUGGCGAAGGCGGCCUGCUGGACGAUGACUGACGUUGAGGCUCGAAAGCGUGGGGAGCAAACAGGAUUAGAUACCCCGGUACC